UAAUAAUCUGUAGCUCCCUCUUCCUCUGUUUUUUUCUUUUUACAAAUGGCCUCUGCUCAAAUCACAGCAGAUCCAGACCGAAGCGGGUCAAAACAGCAGCAGCAGCAGCAGCAGCACUCCGGGAUGUGUAGUUUACUUCAGAUGGCAGAAGGAAAGAGUAGAGCGCGAUGCAGAUGCUGCACCAGCGUCUCUGAUUGGUUUUUAUACGCCUCCUCGCCUGAUCUCUGCCUGAGAUGACGAAAACAGGUGAAGACCUCUCACUCUGACUUCGAUUUCCUGCUACCAGAAAAAUGUUGUAGUCCAAAGUAUGUGACAUCGAGCACGUUGGAUCUCCCGAGAAAAGAGGAGGCGAUUAAAAGUUUUUAUAUUUUUUUUCACUCUCCAGACUCUCACACCGAGAAGUCUGAAUUAAGAGUAUUGGAUCAAACAUUUUCUCUAAAGUAAAAAAAAUGGUAGUAGUAUCAUGAUGGCUGUCUCUGUAUAUUUUAUUUUAUGUUUGAAAACAUUUUAAAUUUUAUAAAUUCAA